rnacentral:rRNA from 1 species
UACAGAGGUCCCAAGCGUUAGGCGGAAUCACUGGGCUUAAAGCGUGUGUAGGCGGAUGCCUAAGUACCUUGUGAAAUCCCACGGCUCACCCGUGGAACUGCUUGGUAUACUGGGUGUCUUGAGCCACUUAGGGGCUACCGGAACAAAUGGUGGAGCGGUGAAAUGCGUAGAUAUCAUUUGGAACGCCAACGGUGAAAACAGGUAGCUGGGAGUGUGCUGACGCUGAGACACGAAAGCCAGGGGAGCAAACGGG